UACGAAGGGAGCUAGCGUUGUUCGGAAUCACUGGGCGUAAAGCGCACGUAGGCGGCCUUGCAAGUCGGGGGUGAAAUCCCGGGGCUCAACCUCGGAACUGCCUUCGAUACUGUAAGUCUCGAGUCCGGAAGAGGUGGGUGGAAUUCCUAGUGUAGAGGUGAAAUUCGUAGAUAUUAGGAAGAACACCAGUGGCGAAGGCGGCCCACUGGUCCGGUACUGACGCUGAGGUGCGAAAGCGUGGGGAGCAAACAGG
rnacentral:rRNA from 1 species